rnacentral:rRNA from 1 species
UACGUAGGCAGCGAGCGUUGUUCGGAGUUACUGGGCGUAAAGAGUGCGUAGGCGGUGCUCCAAGUCUGGUGUGAAAUCUCCCGGCUUAACCGGGAGGGUGCGCCGGAAACUGGGGUGCUGGAGUGUGGGAGAGGUAAGCGGAAUUCCCGGUGUAGCGGUGAAAUGCGUAGAUAUCGGGAGGAAGGCCGGUGGCGAAGGCGGCGCUCUGGAACAUUUCUGACGCUGAGGCUCGAAAGCGUGGGGAGCAAACAGG